GACGAACCGUGCGAACGUUGUUCGGAAUCACUGGGCUUAAAGGGCGCGUAGGCGGCUCGGUAAGUCGGGUGUGAAACCUCCAGGCUCAACCUGGAGACGCCACCUGAUACUGCUGUGGCUAGAGUCCGGUAGGGGAGUGUGGAACUCCUGGUGUAGCGGUGAAAUGCGCAGAUAUCAGGAAGAACACCAGCGGCGAAGGCGGCACUCUGGGCCGGAACUGACGCUGAGGAGCGAAAGCGUGGGUAGCAAACAGG
rnacentral:rRNA from 1 species